GGAUAACCUACCCUUAGGACUGGGAUAACCUUGGGAAACUGAGGAUAAUACCGGAUAGGCAAUUUUUCCUGUAAUGGUUCUUUGUUUAAAUGUUUUUUCGCCUAAGGAUGGGUCUGCGGCCGAUUAGGUAGUUGGUUAGGUAAUGGCUUACCAAGCCGUUGAUCGGUACGGGUUGUGAGAGCAAGAGCCCGGAGAUGGAACCUGAGACAAGGUUCCAGGCCCUACGGGGCGCAGCAGGCGCGAAACCUCCACAAUGUGAGAAAUCGCGAUGGGGGGAUCCCAAGUGCCAUUCUUAACGGGAUGGCUUUUCAUUAGUGUAAAAAGCUUUUGGAAUAAGAGCUGGGCAAGACCGGUGCCAGCCGCCGCGGUAACACCGGCAGCUCUAGUGGUAGCAACUUUUAUUGGGCCUAAAGCGUCCGUAGCCGGUUUAAUAAGUCUCUGGUGAAAUCCUGUAGCUUAACUGUGGGAAUUGCUGGAGAUACUAUUAGACUUGAGACCGGGAGAGGUUGGAGGUACUCCCAGGGUAGAGGUGAAAUUCUGUAAUCCUGGGAGGACCGCCUGUUGCGAAGGCGUCUAACUGGAACGGUUCUGACGGUGAGGGACGAAAGUUAGGGGCGCGAACCGGAUUAGAUACCCGGGUAGUCCUAACUGUAAACGAUGCGGACUUGGUGUUGGGGGUGGCUUUGAGCUGCUCCAGUGCCGAAGGGAAGCUGUUAAGUCCGCCGCCUGGGAAGUACGGUCGCAAGACUGAAACUUAA
rnacentral:rRNA from 1 species